rnacentral:lncRNA from 1 species
GGUUGAUGGCCCUUUAAGAGGCACUAGCCAGCUCUGGUUGCCAUGGAGACAGCUGGACACAGACCGGGUAGAGGCCCACAGCAUGUCCUCCAAAGUUUACUCCACAGGCUCCAGAGCCAAGGACCACCAGCCCUCGGGUGUGGAGUGUCUGCCACUCCCAGAGGCCAAUGCUGAAGCCAUCGACUUCCUCAGCUCCCUCCAUGAGGAGGAGCUACAGAUGCUGUUCUUCUCUGAGACGCUGGCCAUGGUCUCAGACACCGGGGAGCCUCAGGGAGAGCUGACCAUUGACGUGCAGAGAGGGAGAUACCGGGAAAAGCUCGGCGUGCUGACAUACUGCCUUUUCGUGCAUGCCUUUAGCAGAGGCUUCUUGGACAAAAUGCUCUGCGGAAAUUCCCUCCUGGGCUAUCUCUCAGAGAAGCUGGAGCUCAUGGAACAGCACAGCCAAGACUUCAUCAAGUUCCUCAUCCUCCCCAUGGAACGGAAGACAAGUUUGCUGAAGCAGGAUGAUCAGCUGGCUGUGACCAGAAGCAUCAAGGAGGGUGAGGUAAGGAUGAGAGGCAGAUGGGAGUUGCACUCCACACUGUGAACCCAGAGUAUCUGAGACAGGUCCCAAUCAAUUUAGAGACUUUAUUUUGCCAAGGUUAAGGACACAUCCAUGACACAGCCUCAGGAGGUCCUGUGGACAUGUGCCCAAAGUGAUUGGGGCACAGCUUGUUUUUA